GAGCCCUUUCUUCAGGCCACUGGUCUUUGUAGCACUGAUGUUCUCAGCCACAGAAGUGUACUUAGAGGUACCCUCCCUUUACACUUCAUACAGAGACUCAAAGAAGAGACUAAGCUAUCAGUCUCAUCCAGGAUUUCACUGCUGAGCUGAAUACAAAUCAUCAGUUAAGUGAAGCAAUGGUGACAAGAAUUUGCUUAGGAAACAAGAGUAUUUACCAACAAUUCAACAGAUAUCACCAAAUUCAUACUACACAAUGUAAAUCGAGGAUAUACAAAUUCAAAUUUUCAAGAAAGCUUCAAACUAACCAGACCUGUUUCAACAGGCCUGGGACAAUGUUCACAGGAUGAGCAUGUAAUAAGAAUAUUGUUUAUUUUCUGAA